GACGUCAGGGCCCUCGGGCCCCGCCCCCCAGCAGGCCGAGGACCAAUCCGCAGAGGGUGCAGGGUCUGAGGGGAGGGGCAGAGCCCGGGCCCCACGGAGGGCGGAGGGGGUACCCGGGAGAAGCAGAGAUUGGAAGGAGGAGCAGGGGGCCUGCCCUCCACCCCCACACUCUGGGCCCGAGACUCCUCGCUCCUCCUCGCCUCGCCUCGCCUCGAGUCUCUGGCUCCGACCUCUCUACUCCCUUGUUUCUGACCUGUGCUCCGUGGUGUCUCUGAUCUCCCCCUGCCGCCAGGGGAAAGGAGGAACAUCCCUCCCAGGACUCACUCACACCUAUUCUCCAACUCUGCCUACCUGCUCAAUUCACCUGAUGCUCUGCCAGUGGAUUGCUGAUGUCUCUACAUUGAUUCAGAUUUGCACCCACAUCUGAAAAUGGUCAGCAGGCAGGGACCCUCUGUCACCACAGGUGGAGGAAGAGGAGAUGAAAGAGCCUUGUCUGACACCCUGGAGACUGGGAAACUACCCAGACUGUGUCCUCUCCCUCUUACUCUCCUAAAGGAAGACAAGGAAGACAAUGACAAAUGGCGUUUGCAGCAAAGCAACACCAACAGCCAACUUGAUGCUCAAGAGAGAACGCUAUGCCUCUUCCUCAUGGUUUCCAGUGCUCUACACAUUCUGAGAAACUUUUCUGGUUCUACUUCUGGAGGGAACCCAAACCAACACAUUUGAUAUCCAAAGUUGUCCUAGGAAGUAGACCCCCAGGAUAAGAUUCUGGUUUUGGAUCACUCAUCAUCCAGAUGGCCCAAAGAUUCCAUUGCUGAGGGUCUCACUCUGUUGCCCAGGCUGGAGUGCACUGGCGCAAUCACGGCUCACUUCAGCCUCAACCUCCCAGGCUCAAGAGAUCCUCUGCUCUCUGCCUUCCAAGUAGCUGAGACUACAGCCACACACCAUCAUGCCCAGCUAAUUUUUUUUUUUUGGAGACAAAGUCUUGCUCUAUCGCCAGGCUGGAGUGCAGUGGUGUGAUCUCAGCUCACUGCAACCUCCACCUCCCAGGUUCAAGUGAUUCUCCUGCCUCAGCCUCCCGAGUAGCUGGGACUACAGGUGCGUGCCACCACGCCCAGCUAAUUUUUGUAUUUUUAGUAGAGACGGGGUUUCACCACGUUGGCCAAGAUGGUCUUGAUCUCUUGACCUCGUGAUCCCCCCACCUCGGCCUCCCAGAGUACUGAAAUUAUAGGCUUGAGCCACUGCGCCCGGCCAAGCCCAGCUGAUUUUUAAAUUUUUUGUAGAGACAGUGUCUCACUAUGUUGCUCAGCUGGUCUCGACCUCCUAGGCUCAAGCAGUCCUCCCACCUCAGCCUCCCAAAGUGCUGGGAUUAUAGGCAUGAGUCACUGCACCAGGACCUGACUUUCUUUUUCACACCCCAAGACAGAGAAUCCAUUAUCAUCCUAAGAAUCUUAUUUCCUUUGAGUGGAAAAGUAUUAGAGAUUAAAAUCUGGAUGUGGGGCCACAUUUAGUGUGGUCAGUGGCCUCCAGUGGCGAAGAGUCCUGGUGUGAGCAAACACCCCCAUGGUGAGGUCCUGCAAAUCCAGGGCCUGCUGGGCAGAUGAGGCAGAAGACAGAGGUAUUUAUACGUCACAGCUACUGGCAGUCCUUCAUGGCAUCUACCCUCCAGGCCUUCCUGACUGAGAUGAAGAAGGAAUGGCAGGAGCCACCAAACCGCCGGCUCAUUUCAUCAUUGACACACCUGCUACAGGCUUCCAGCAUGUUUACCUCUCUGCUAAAUCACAGGAGGAAAUCCAUACUAAUUCCUGGGGUUUGCUGGCCAAAAUGAUGUGUAACUUGGUGCAUGAAUGGCUCCUACAGGCUCUGGGCUGCUGCUUCUCUCUGCACAGACCCAGGAUUAGGUGUGUUUACUCUCCCCUAGGCUUGGAGGCUUCCAGGUCCCUCAGCUUUGGUUUCAAACUUCUGUAUCCCAGGUGCCUAGCACAGUGCCUGACACAUGGGUGGUGCAGAGUGGGUUCAAAAUAAAUGUUUGUAGAUUGACUACCUGAAUGAAUAAAUGAACCAACUUCCCCCAUCUUCUCAAAGUGGAGGCUA
rnacentral:lncRNA from 1 species